rnacentral:lncRNA from 1 species
CAAACCAUCUCUCAUACACCCCUAACAUUUCUGAUGUAACGCCACCCAUCUCCACCCUCCUUCCGUCGUCCGUCGCUGGCUGCAAAUCAUCGCCGUCGUUGACGAGUCUCCAAUGAACCCCAAAUUAACACCCUUUGAUCCCCUUCCUCCUCUUUCCAACCCCUUAAACCACAACCCUCGAAUCUUAACCGAUCAUCUCGAAUAUUAGUUCAAAGAUUCGACUGGUUCGCCGUCUACGGCGGCG